rnacentral:tRNA from 2 species
AUUUAUAUAGUUUAUUUAAAACAUUAUACUUUCAAUAUAAAAUUAUUAAUAAAUU